UACAGGGGGUGCAACCGUUGCUCGGAAUCAUUGGGCGUAAAGCGCACGUAGGCGGUUCGUUAUGUCGGAUGUGAAAGCCCUUGGCUUAACCGAGGAAGUGCAUCCGAAACUGGCGAGCUAGAGUACUAAAGAGGAUCGCGGAAUUCCCGGUGUAGAGGUGAAAUUCGUAGAUAUCGGGAGGAACACCGGUGGCGAAGGCGGCGAUCUGGGUAGAUACUGACGCUGAGGAGCGAAAGCAUGGGGAGCGAACAGG
rnacentral:rRNA from 1 species